rnacentral:rRNA from 1 species
UACGUAGGGUGCAAGCGUUAAUCGGAAUUACUGGGCGUAAAGCGUGCGCAGGCGGUUUUGUAAGUCUGUCGUGAAAUCCCCGGGCUCAACCUGGGAAUGGCGAUGGAGACUGCAAGGCUAGAGUUUGGCAGAGGGGGGUAGAAUUCCACGUGUAGCAGUGAAAUGCGUAGAUAUGUGGAGGAACACCGAUGGCGAAGGCAGCCCCCUGGGUCAAAACUGACGCUCAUGCACGAAAGCGUGGGGAGCAAAAGGG